rnacentral:rRNA from 1 species
UGGCGGGACGGGGGAGUAAUGUCUGGGAAACUGCCCGAUGGAGGGGGAUAACUACUGGAAACGGUAGCUAAUACCGCAUAACGUCGCAAGACCAAAGAGGGGGACCUUAGGGCCUCGCGCCAUCAGAUGAACCCAUAUGGGAUUAGCUAGUAGGUAAGGUAACGGCUUACCUAGGCGACGAUCCCUAGCUGGUCUGAGAGGAUGACCAGCCACACUGGAACUGAGACACGGUCCAG